UACGUAGGGUGCAAGCGUUGUCCGGAAUUAUUUGGCGUAGAGAGCACGUAGGCGGUCUGUCGCGUCGGCUGUGAAAACUCGGGGCUCAACCCCGAGCCUGCAGUCGAUACGGGCAGACUAGAGUGCUGUAGGGGAGACUGGAAUUCCUAGUGUAGCGGUGAAAUGCGCAGAUAUCAGGAGGAACACCGGUGGCGAAGGCGGGUCUCUGGGCAGUAACUGACGCUGAGGAGCGAAAGCGUGGGGAGCGAACAGG
rnacentral:rRNA from 1 species